GUAUGUGACCGUUUUCAUUAACAAGCACAAUCACCCACUAUCUGUGAAGUGUGGCGAGAAAAAACAGUGGAAAUCACAUAGCGUUAUAAGUCCUUUAGCAAAGGAUUUUAUUCGUAACCUCAGGGAGAACAACAUCAGGUUUGACCAGAUAUACAACAUAUUAGGGUCAGGUCUUGGCUCUUCUCUAGGCGUGCCUUUUAGGAAGCAGACAUUGAGAACUCUGUGUGCAACCAUAGCUCAUGAUUCCAUCGCUGAUGAUAUGGCCAAAACCACUAGUAUACUUCAGGAUAUGAGUGCCACAGAUCCGGACUUCAAAGUUUGUGUGCAAGUAGACGGUGAAAGCAGGGUGAAAACAGUAAUAUGGUGUAAUGGUAAAAAUCGGCUGGAUUAUGCACAUUUCGGUGAUGUGGUUACUUUCGACACCACUUACAGGACCAACCUAUAUAACAUGCCAUUUGGGCUUUUUGUUGGUGUCAAUAACCAUUUCCAGUCUAUUAUUUUUGGCGGCGUCCUCAUGGUUGAUGAAAAGACUCCCACAUUUGAAUGGGCAUUCAGAAACUUUAUUGACUUGAUGGACGGGAAACAUCCUACUACUAUAUUGACAGAUCAAUGCAAAGCUAUGCAAAAUGCUUUACGAAGUACAAUGCCCCACACCCGUCAUAGGUGGUGCAGAUGGCAUGUGUUAAAGGUCUUGAAAGAGAAAAUUGGACACGUGUACAACAAACAUUCUGCCUUCAAGAAGGAAUUCCACGCGAUAGUAAAUGAAGAGACGGAUGUAGAAUCAUUUGAGCGAAAGUGGCAUCAAUUGAUUAAAAAAUACAAAAACUUCAAGGAAACAAGUACCUUCGCAGGAUUUUCAAGUGGAGGGACAUGUGGGCAAUGCCAUACUUCAUGGGCACAUUCUGUGCCGGGAUGACCGGCACGCAACGGAGCGAGAGUGCGAAUCAUCUCCUCAAAAAGUUCAUCAGCAGAUCAUCCCCAAUGCACUUGUUUGUUAAGCAGUACAACAAAUUGCUUGAUUCCAGGAGCCAGGCAGAAGACGAGGCAAAUUAUGUCAGACACGCAGGCGGCUUGUAAUUGGCGCUACUAUCGAGAUAGAUGCAGCGGCUGUGUACACGAAGGCCUUGUACGAAAAAUUUUCACACGAACUUUUUAGAUCAGGCUCAUUUGAUGCACGCCGUUCCAAGCCUGGACACGUCUACAAGGUCAAAUUGUCGCCGCAACUAGCCUUAACUGAUUAUGACAAAAAGGUAUUCACCGUCAAAGUGGAAGACGGUGGGGACUUUGUCACAUGUGAUUGUGGAUUUUUUGAUCAUGUCGGCCUGUUGUGCUGCCAUUCAUUAAAGGUAUUAGUUCAGAACAAUAUUGGCAAGAUUCCACCAAGGAAUAUAGUCAAAAGAUGGACUUUAUGGGCAAGGGAAUCGAGACCACUGCACCUGGCAAACGAGGGUGAAAUGGGGGAGCUGUCUUCCCAAAUUACGUAUAGAAGAAAUGUUCUAUAUGUGGCUGCUAUGGACCUUAUCAAGGAGGCAGAAUCCGAGUCUGAGUCAUUCCAAACGGCGUUCGCAGCUAUAUGUGAGGCAAAAGAAAAAAUUGCAAGUAAGAAGGCUUCAGAUAUGCUUAUUGAUACUAUCGCCGAACAAGCAAAUCCUGUCCGGCAUACCAUAACUGAUGUUGGGUCAGAAACCCAACUUCUUCCUGCACAACGUGUGCUGUCUAAAGGACGACCUAGCUCCCUUCGCCCAAAGAGUCGUAUGGAUUACAUUGUGGCUAAGAAAGCUAGAAAACACUACAAGGACGGCCCAUGCCAUGCUCAUGAAGAUACUGCCGGUCCAAUGCCACCCCCUCCAUCCAAAAAAAAGAUUGUGAAGUGUAGCCUAUGCAAGAUUCCGGGGCACACAAAGGGUAAUUGCACUGCUAGGGGAGUCCGAGCGCAAAUGUUCUCAUGUGGUUAUGCAAGUUUAUGUUCAGUGUCACUUCAUUUAACCUGUAGCGUCCUUGGUGUACUAUGUUUUGUACUGUAUUUUAUUUUUACAUGAAUCCGUAUGUUCAUGGAUUUUUUUUUUGCGGCUCCA